AAGCAUGUUUCCAAGGCUGUGGCUGCUUGUAGCUGUGGAGUCCCCAAAUGCAUGCCAGAGUAAUGGAGAGACUUUGACAGCCCAGGUCAGCACAAUGCCUGCAGCUGCCAACCAGCUUUUCUGUAUAU